rnacentral:lncRNA from 1 species
CUGACUUAGCGGGUGAACAUGAUUGAAUCUGAGAGAUACCAUCACCAUUCAUUUCUUUAUCUUGAGAGGCUGAAUUUUACAGCUUUCUGUGUACUUUGGAUUCAGCUCACGGAACAAACCAGCAGAAAGAUGAAAAUGUAGAAAGAGAAUGAAGUCAGCACAUCCCUGCUUAAAACCACAAAGUGCUGACCUAGCCCAUGGUUCCAGAACCCCGGGACGUCAGAGCAGCAUUUUAAAGACUCAUCCUUAUAAUAAAUUACUAUUUUAAUGAUAGUCUUGGUAACAUACAGUGAAUGAAAAACACUUUCUGUAGAUUAAGUAACAUAGUUCCCAUUAAUUGUUUACUAUACUUGAGACCUUAGAGAGAUUUAACUCACUGUUCAUUUGGUGCAGUUUCUGCUGAAUUAUUUCAAACACCUCCUUACUGCUUUAGCUUUGAAUCAGCAUUAGAAAGUAUAAUGCCAAAUAGGAUUCCCCCAUUGCCUCAAAUGCUCUAAAAAGAAAUACAAGCUAAAUCUCAACCACAAAUACAUUUCUCUCUUUAUACUGUGAGCGCUCUGUGAUCCUUGGCUUAGGCAAAAUAAAUAAUGUACAAAAAUUUGCAGAAUGAGAAAACCAGGAAAUUAGAAAAUUAAUAAGGUAACAAAAUUUUAAGUCUAAACAGGAUAGCUUUAUGGAGGUGCUGAAGACAAACGGUUCAGAGUUCUACAUUUAGAUAGAAAACCCAGUGUUUACAUUUGACUAGGACAAGUUCCACCAUCUCCAGAAUUACAUAGUGUAAACUCUAAAUGUAAGUACUUACAUUUAUGUAAAGCCAUAGUUAAAGAUAUUGACUCAGGUGGCUGAUUUGAAUUUUAUUUACUGUGAGAAUCAAAAGUGAAGAUCAGAUGCAAGGUGUAACUUUGGCUGACUAUGUUUAGUUUUUGCAAAGUUCAGGGUUUCUCUUGCUCCCCCUCACCUGCCCCCACCACUUUCUUCUCAUUAUAUGAAUCUUGGCUGUUAACCUUAAGCCCACAUCAGAUUCUCAACACAGACCCAAAUUGUGUCAUAUUUCUCAGACACACUACUUUGGCUCUCAAGAAACCUUUCUACAGGCCACUUCUCCUACCUGGAAUGUCUGCUUCUUGCUGCCUCACGCCCCUUAUUCUCCACCCAAAACUCUCUACUUAAGGAAGCUCAUCUCUAAUGGAGUUCUCAACUAAACCCUGCUGGUUCCAGGCAUUCUGAUCCCUCUAUUAGUAGUGUGUCCUGUAUCCUUGUAUAGGCCAACUCUCUUAAAAUAGUUUGCAAAUAGGGUUUUGAGUUACUUUUGUGUGGCCAUACAUUUCCACUUGGAUACAUCUCAGCAACACGGUCUUCCUCACUGCUCUCAAGUGUACCUACUGGACAACUGGAGGCUGAGACUAGCAAUUUGGGCCAGAGUGCCAUCUACUGGUAGAAAGGACACAAUACUGUCAACAGACUACAUGAACGUAUUCAUGUACACAGACACACACACACACACACACACACACACACACACACACCUGUUUUCACUGUUUAAGAAUAUGGAAUAUGCUAUAUCAAACAAAAAAUUUGUGUGCACCUUUUUUAAGAUCUAUGUAUUGAAAAAGAAAUGACGAUGAAAUGAAAGAUUCACACUGGGAUCCUCUAAACGAUACUGUCAUCUUCAAAAGAUGGAUGUGAAUUUUAGAUUAUGUCCUCUGGCUAUUUCGUUAACUUUUUUCUGUUUAUUAAAAAAUCACAUAGGACACGAA